AUGCCCGAAGGGUGACGAAGCGACGCCGCGUGGGUGAGGAAGGCCCUCGGGUUGUAAAGCCCUGUCAGGAGUUAAGAAAUGUAGGUGUGCUAAUAUCACGCCUAUUUGACGAAGGCCCCAAAGGAAGCCACGGCUAACUCUGUGCCAGCAGCCGCGGUAAUACAGAGGUGGCAAGCGUUGUCCGGAAUUAUUGGGCGUAAAGAGCACGUAGGUGGGUUUGUAAGUCAGAUGUGAAAGCCUCCUGUUCAACGGGAGAAUUGCAUCUGAAACUACUGAUCUUGAGUGUAGGAGGGGAGAAUGGAACUUCUGGUGGAGCGGUGAAAUGCGUAGAUAUCAGAAGGAACGCCGGCGGCGAAAGCGAUUCUCUGGCCUAUUACUGACACUCAGUGUGCGAAAGCUAGGGGAGCAAACGGGAUUAGAUACCCCGGUAGUCCUAGCCGUAAACGAUGGGCACUAAGUAGAGGGGU
rnacentral:rRNA from 1 species